rnacentral:rRNA from 1 species
UACGAAGGGGGCUAGCGUUGCUCGGAAUCACUGGGCGUAAAGGGUGCGUAGGCGGGUCUUUUAAGUCAGGGGCGAAAUCCUGGAGCUCAACUCCAGAACUGCCUUUGAUACUGAAGAUCUUGAGUUCGGGAGAGGUGAGUGGAACUGCGAGUGUAGAGGUGAAAUUCGUAGAUAUUCGCAAGAACACCAGUGGCGAAGGCGGCUCACUGGCCCGAUACUGACGCUGAGGCACGAAAGCGUGGGGAGCAAACAGG